GCCUGGGUGGCUUAGUCGGUUAAGUGUCUGACUUCAGCUCAGUUCAUGAUCUCACGUGGCUUGUGAGUUCGAGCCCCGCGUCGGGCU
rnacentral:tRNA from 1 species